GCCCAGGGAUGCUGACGGGAGACUGACUACUAUCAAUGGACAGUACUCCUUGCUCAACAAGCACCGUGCAUAAAAACAGCAGCACGAAGAAACAGCCUAUUUUCCCAGCACUGAAAGGACCAAACAACUCCUUUUGACAUGAACCCGAUGAUGCUGAAAAAUGCUUUUGGGCUGCACCUUCAUCUCUUCUUUCAUGUCUUC